GCGGCUGUCCGGACUGGAUCCCGCCAUCACCACCAGCCACCCCCUCGUUUGUCCGUGUCCAUCUCGGCGAAACCAAGGGUCUGCCUCGUGUCCUGCGAGGUGACACUCCACCGCCACCGCUCUGCUGCUUCCGCCUUACGCUUCGCUCCCUCCGGUGCCAUACUCACCUCCGACAAAAAGGACCUCUUGGACGUCAUUGCACAUGCUGGCCUCUUCCGACCCCGUGGCCACCGUGAUCAGGUAAUUGAUUUUGUGUUCCUGGAUUCGGGUAAGAAGCUAGUGACCUGCUCCAAGGACAAGGUUAUCUGGGUUUGGGACCUCAACACACAACACUGCCUUCAAAUUCGAGCAGCUUCCCUUGCGCCGUCAUCCAUCCACCAACAAGCCCAUGACCAUGCAUCAGGUCAUAAAAAAAUUCAAAAAUUAUUUCUUAUCAAUAUGUUUCAAAUAUGCUUCAGUUCUAAAUUUGUUCCCUUUUCCCUUCAUUUUUCCAAGAACUGUACUGUUCGGCAUUAG
rnacentral:rRNA from 1 species